UGGAAAUGCUCCUACUUCUGGAUAUGGACC
rnacentral:piRNA from 1 species